rnacentral:rRNA from 1 species
ACGCUAGCGGCAGGCCUAACACAUGCAAGUCGAGGGGUAACAGGAAAGCUUGCUUUUGCUGACGACCGGCGCACGGGUGCGUAACGCGUAUGCAACCUACCUCAUACUGGAGGAUAGCCCCUGGAAACGGGGAUUAAUACUCCAUAGUAUCACGAAUUCGCAUGUUUUUGUGAUAAAAGUUUUUCGGUAUGAGAUGGGCAUGCGUCCCAUUAGCUUGUUGGUGAGGUAACGGCUCACCAAGGCAACGAUGGGUAGGGGGCCUGAGAGGGUGGUCCCCCACACUGGUACUGAGACACGGACCAGACUCCUACGGGAGGCAGCAGUGAGGAAUAUUGGUCAAUGGAGGCAACUCUGAACCAGCCAUGCCGCGUGAAGGAUGACGGCCCUAUGGGUUGUAAACUUCUUUUAUAGAGGAAGAAACUUGUCUACGUGUAGACAACUGACGGUACUCUACGAAUAAGGAUCGGCUAACUCCGUGCCAGCAGCCGCGGUAAUACGGAGGAUCCAAGCGUUAUCCGGAUUCAUUGGGUUUAAAGGGUCCGUAGGCGGGUCUUUAAGUCAGUGGUGAAAGCCGACAGCUCAACUGUCGAACUGCCAUUGAUACUGGAGACCUUGAGUACAAAUGAAGUAGGCGGAAUGAGUCAUGUAGCGGUGAAAUGCAUAGAUAUGACUCAGAACACCGAUUGCGAAGGCAGCUUACUAACAUGUAACUGACGCUGAGGGACGAAAGCGUGGGGAGCGAACAGGAUUAGAUACCCUGGUAGUCCACGCCGUAAACGAUCAUCACUCGCUGUUGGCGAUAUACUGUCAGCGGCCAAGC